CACCUUUAAUCUAUAUGACGUCACGUCAUCGAUUGCAGUCACUGUUGCAAAGGCUUUAUCAAAACCCUUAUCUGUAUGACGUCAUGUCAAACCUAUAAUCUGUAUGACGUCAUUUCAAUCCUCCUUAUCUGUAUGACGUCAUGUCACAUAAAAAACAUCUUCUUGAGAUAUAUGUAUAUAAUAAAAUGUAUAUGAUAUGGCUUUUUCAAUAUCACACACCGUAUCAACCCUCAAC
rnacentral:lncRNA from 1 species